GAUGAAGAACGCAGCAAAAUGCGAUAAGUAGUGUGAAUUGCAGAAUUCAGUGAAUCAUCGAAUCUUUGAACGCACCUUGCGCCCUUUGGCAUUCCGAAGGGCAUGCCUGUUUGAGUAUCAUGAACACCUCAACUCUUCAUGGUUUUCCAUGAUGAGCUUGGACUUUGGGGGUCUUGCUGGCCUGCGGUCGGCUCCUCUCAAAUGAAUCAGCUUACCAGUGUUUGGUGGGCAUCACAGGUGUGAUAACUAUCUGCGCUUGUGGUUUUCCACCAAGUAACCUUCAGCAGUGGAGGUUCACUGGAGCUCACAGACGUCUCUCCUCAGUGAGGACAGCCCUUUGAAUGUUUGAUCUCAAAUCAGGUAGGACUACCCGCUGAACUUAAGCAUAUCAAUAAGCGGAGGA
rnacentral:misc_RNA from 1 species